rnacentral:rRNA from 1 species
GUCAGUUCGUACUGUGAAGCAUCCUGUUAAGUCAGGCAACGAGCGAGACCCACGCGAGCAGUUGCCAGCUUGACCUUCGGGUUGAUGGGGACACUGCUCGGACCGCCUCUGCUAAAGGGGAGGAAGGAAUGGGCAACGGUAGGUCAGCAUGCCCCGAAUUAUCCGGGCUACACGCGGGCUACAAUGGACAGGACAAUGGGUUUCGACACCGAGAGGUGAGGAUAAUCUCCUAAACCUGUCCGAAGUUCGGAUUGCGGGUUGUAACUCACCCGCAUGAAGCUGGAAUCCGUAGUAAUCGCGUUUCAACAUAGCGCGGUGAAUAUGUCCCUGCUCCUUGCACACACCGCCCGUCAAACCACCCGAGUGAGGUCUUGAUGAGGAUGUAUCAUUGAUAUGUUCGAAUCUGGGUUUUGCAAGGGGGGUUAAGUCGUAACAAGGUAGCCGUAGGGGAAUCUGCGGCUG